GAUGAACGCUGGCGGCGUGCCUAAUACAUGCAAGUAGAACGCUGAAGCUUGGUGCUUGCACCGAGCGGAUGAGUUGCAAACGGGUGAGUAACGCGUAGGUAACCUGCCUCUUAGCGGGGAUAACUAUUGGAAACGAUAGCUAAUACCGCAUAAAAGUUGACAUUGCAUGAUGUUGAUUUGAAAGAUGCAAUUGCAUCACUAAGAGAUGGACCUGCGUUGUAUUAGCUAGUUGGUGAAGUAACGGCUCACCAAGGCGACGAUACAUAGCCGACCUGAGAGGGUGAUCGGCCACACUGGGACUGAGACACGGCCCAGACUCCUACGGGAGGCAGCAGUAGGGAAUCUUCGGCAAUGGACGGAAGUCUGACCGAGCAACGCCGCGUGAGUGAAGAAGGUUUUCGGAUCGUAAAGCUCUGUUGUAAGAGAAGAACGAGUGUGAGAGUGGAAAGUUCACACUGUGACGGUAACUUACCAGAAAGGGACGGCUAACUACGUG
rnacentral:rRNA from 1 species